rnacentral:tRNA from 1 species
GCUAUUAUAGUUUAGAAAAACGAAGGCUUUUCAAGCCUUAACCCUAGGUUAAACCCCUAGUAACAGCU